rnacentral:rRNA from 1 species
GUGCUAACGUCCGUCGUGAAGAGGGAAACAACCCAGACCGCCAGCUAAGGUCCCAAAGUCAUGGUUAAGUGGGAAACGAUGUGGGAAGGCCCAGACAGCCAGGAUGUUGGCUUAGAAGCAGCCAUCAUUUAAAGAAAGCGUAAUAGCUCACUGGUCGAGUCGGCCUGCGCGGAAGAUGUAACGGGGCUAAACCAUGCACCGAAGCUGCGGCAGCGAACGUAUCACUUAAAGCGAUUCAGCGGAUGACGAUUGACGGAGCGAAGCGACGUCAAAGCGUUUUACAACGUCGAGUCGGUUUAAGGAUACGUUCGUUGGGUAGGGGAGCGUUCUGUAAGCCUGCGAAGGUGUGUCGUGAGGCAUGCUGGAGGUAUCAGAAGUGCGAAUGCUGACAUAAGUAACGAUAAUGCGGGUGAAAAACCCGCACGCCGGAAGACCAAGGGUUCCUGUCCAACGUUAAUCGGGGCAGGGUGAGUCGACCCCUAAGGCGAGGCCGAAAGGCGUAGUCGAUGGGAAACAGGUUAAUAUUCCUGUACCUGGUGUUACUGCGAAGGGGGGACGGAGAAGGCUAUGUUGGCCGGGCGACGGUUGUCCCGGUUUAAGCGUGUAGGUGUGUGUUCCAGGAAAAUCCGGUUCACUUUAACACUGAGGCGUGACGACGAGGCACUACGGUGCUGAAGCAACAAAUGCCCUGCUUCCAGGAAAAGCCUCUAAGCCUCAGGUAACAUCAGAUCGUACCCGAAACCGACACAGGUGGUCAGGUAGAGAAUACCAAGGCGCUUGAGAGAACCCGGGUGAAGGAACUAGGCAAAAUGGUGCCGUAACUUCGGGAGAAGGCACGCUGACACGUAGGUGAAGCGGUUUACCCGUGGAGCUGAAGUCAGUCGAAGAUACCAGCUGGCUGCAACUGUUUAUUAAAAACACAGCACUGUGCAAACACGAAAGUGGACGUAUACGGUGUGACGCCUGCCCGGUGCCGGAAGGUUAAUUGAUGGGGUCAGCGCAAGCGAAGCUCCUGAUCGAAGCCCCGGUAAACGGCGGCCGUAACUAUAACGGUCCUAAGGUAGCGAAAUUCCUUGUCGGGUAAGUUCCGACCUGCACGAAUGGCGUAAUGAUGGCCAGGCUGUCUCCACCCGGGACUCAGUGAAAUUGAACUCGCUGUGAAGAUGCAGUGUACCCGCGGCAAGACGGAAAGACCCCGUGAACCUUUACU